rnacentral:rRNA from 1 species
GUGGGGAAUCUUAGACAAUGGGCGCAAGCCUGAUCUAGCCAUGCCGCGUGAGUGAUGAAGGCCCUAGGGUUGUAAAGCUCUUUCAGCUGGGAAGAUAAUGACGGUACCAGCAGAAGAAGCCCCGGCUAACUCCGUGCCAGCAGCCGCGGUAAUACGGAGGGGGCUAGCGUUGUUCGGAAUUACUGGGCGUAAAGCGCGCGUAGGCGGACUGAAAAGUUGGGGGUGAAAUCCCGGGGCUCAACCUCGGAACUGCCUUCAAAACUAUCAGUCUGGAGUUCGAGAGAGGUGAGUGGAAUACCGAGUGUAGAGGUGAAAUUCGUAUAUAUUCGGAGGAACACCAGUGGCGAAGGCGGCUCACUGGCUCGAUACUGACGCUGAGGUGCGAAAGCGUGGGGAGCAAACAGGAUUAGAUACCCCAGUAGUCC